GGCGUCUUAGCCAAGUGGUAAGGCGUAGGUCUGCAACACCUUGAUGCGUCGGUUCAAAUCCGACAGACGCCU
rnacentral:tRNA from 1 species